GACGAACGCUGGCGGCGUGCUUAACACAUGCAAGUCGAACGGAAAGGCCCUGCUUUUGUGGGGUGCUCGAGUGGCGAACGGGUGAGUAACACGUGAGUAACCUGCCCUUUACUUUGGGAUAACUUCAGGAAACUGGGGCUAAUACCGGAUAGGAGCUCCUGCUGCAUGGUGGGGGUUGGAAAGUUUCGUCGGUUGGGGAUGGACUCGCGGCUUAUCAGCUUGUUGGUGGGGUAGUGGCUUACCAAGGCUUUGACGGGUAGCCGGCCUGAGAGGGUGACCGGCCACAUUGGGACUGAGAUACGGCCCAGACUCCUACGGGAGGCAGCAGUGGGGAAUAUUGCACAAUGGGCGGAAGCCUGAUGCAGCAACGCCGCGUGCGGGAUGACGGCCUUCGGGUUGUAAACCGCUUUCGCCUGUGACGAAGCGUGAGUGACGGUAAUGGGUAAAGAAGCACCGGCUAACUACGUG
rnacentral:rRNA from 1 species